rnacentral:rRNA from 1 species
UACGAACUGUGCAAACGUUUAUUCGGAAUCACUGGGCUUAAAGGGUGCGUAGGCGGCUGUCUAAGCAGGGUGUGAAAGCCCCCGGCUCAACCGGGGAAUUGCGUUCUGAACUGGACGGCUGGAGUGGGAUAGAGGUGUGCGGAACUUCCGGUGGAGCGGUGAAAUGUGUUGAUAUCGGAAGGAACGCCGGUGGCGAAAGCGGCACACUGGGUCUCAACUGACGCUGAGGCACGAAAGCCAGGGGAGCGAACGGG